rnacentral:lncRNA from 1 species
UCUACAGUUCACUAUGUAUACCAUUUAACAGCAAAUAGAUGAACCACACCUUGAAAAACCCACAAAUGGUGAGCUAGAAGAGCUCCUGCUUGCCAUCUUGUUCAUCUAUUCUCUAUCAUAGGAAAAGCAGAGCGGCAGGAACUCAGCUGUAUUCUCUUUACAUCUGGCAUCUCUCUUACCUAAGAUCUGGCAGCUACAGGUAAUGUCUUGAUCUUAAAAUCAAAACUUACUUCACUCUUAAUGGACUAUAGAAUUAAGUUGCCUACAAAGGAAUACUUACUAGCUGUCCUCACACUCUUUAUGACAAUUUAAUGCUUUCCUCCUUAGAAGCAGAUCACCUUAAAAUGUAGUA